UGUUUCCGAAUACAGGAAUCUUGUUUGGGCUAGCUGGCUCAAAUGUCUACAUAAUAAUAAGGUGUUUGAUCCUAAUCACUUGGAAUUAACAUUUAGAAAAAUAAUGGACUUUAGGGUAGAGAAUUAUCUAGUUUGAUUUUCAUAUACCUGUACAAUGCUCAUGUAGUUUUUCAGAAAUAGGGUGUUUGGGGUCAGGGAUAUCUGAUAUUGUGUUGAUUGUUCAGGAGUAGAGGAUACUUGUAUCAUUUUUCUGUCUUUAGGGGGUUCAUUGGUUAGGUAGUAUGUCUUUGAUAUUAAAUAAUAUUUCUAUUACUAUUAUUAUAUUUUUAGGUUAAUCACUUUUCAAUUGUUUAUGAUUUAAUACUUGUGAAUUAUGAUAACUUACAAAUAAAAACAUAAAAAUAAA